UUUCCCCUUCUACUUUGCUCUUGUGAACACCACCUGUGUUCAGUUCUGCUGUCCCCAGCAUAAGGACAUGGAACAGUUGGAGCAAGUCCAAAGAAGAGUCUUGAAGUUUUUAAGAGGACUGGAGCAACUUCCCUGAAAAGGGACCAGAAGGGGCUCAUCCAUAGAGAAUACAGAGUAGUCUAGGCAGUGCAGGGCCAGUGGGAAUGGAAUAAUCUGGAAUUGGAGUGGUCAGGAUGAGAAGAAAAUAGACAUAAGAAAAAGUCUGAGAAAGCUCUGGUGACAGAAGGAUUUGAAAGCUACAAAGUUACAAACAAAGAGAUGGAGAAGCAAUAGGUAAAAGGUGCAGCAUGGCACCUAGAAAAAUGAUGUGUUAAAGAGAAGGGGACAUCACAAGCGUCUGAUGUAUGAGUCCACUUUCCUCUGAAAGUUCAAUGCAUGGUUCAAGAAACUCAGAGAAUAUUUUAAGUACCUCAAUUUAAGUUUUGCUUAUGCAAUUUUUCUCAUUCUGAUUAAGUAAUGACAGUUUACUCAAGGAAACCUCUGUGGAUGGGACACAUGUACAAGUAUUUGUGCUUGAUGUGUUAGACCACUCAUCCACUCAGGUAACAUAAACAAU